GGGAGGUAAUGGGGAGGUAAUGGGUAUAGAUCAGGGAGGUAAUGGGGAUAGAUCAGGGAGGUAAUGGGUAUAGAUCAGGGAGGUAAUGGGGAGGUAAUGGGUAUAUAUCAGGGAGGUAAUGGGGAUAGAUCAGGGAGGUAAUGGGGAGGU